ACGUUCGGAAAUAUUGGGCGUAAGAGCUCGUAGGCGGUUUGUCGCGUCUGCUGUGAAAUCCGGAGGCUCAACCUCCGGCCUGCAGUGGGUACGGGCAGACUAGAGUGCGGUAGGGGAGAUUGGAAUUCCUGGUGUAGCGGUGGAAUGCGCAGAUAUCAGGAGGAACACCGAUGGCGAAGGCAGAUCUCUGGGCCGUAACUGACGCUGAGGAGCGAAAGGGUGGGGAGCAAACAGGCUUAGAUACCCUGGUAGUCCACCCCGUAAACGUUGGGAACUAGUUGUGGGGUCCAUUCCACGGAUUCCGUGACGCAGCUAACGCAUUAAGUUCCCCGCCUGGGGAGUACGGCCGCAAGGCUAAAACUCAAAGGAAUUGACGGGGACCCGCACAAGCGGCGGAGCAUGCGGAUUAAUUCGAUGCAACGCGAAGAACCUUACCAAGGCUUGACAUAUACGAGAACGGGCCAGAAAUGGUCAACUCUUUGGACACUCGUAAACAGGUGGUGCAUGGUUGUCGUCAGCUCGUGUCGUGAGAUGUUGGGUUAAGUCCCGCAACGAGCGCAACCCUCGUUCUAUGUUGCCAGCACGUAAUGGUGGGAACUCAUGGGAUACUGCCGGGGUCAACUCGGAGGAAGGUGGGGAUGACGUCAAAUCAUCAUGCCCCUUAUGUCUUGGGCUUCACGCAUGCUACAAUGGCCGGUACAAAGGGCUGCAAUACCGCGAGGUGGAGCGAAUCCCAAAAAGCCGGUCCCAGUUCGGAUUGAGGUCUGCAACUCGACCUCAUGAAGUCGGAGUCGCUAGUAAUCGCAGAUCAGCAACGCUGCGGUGAAUACGUUCCCGGGUCUUGAC
rnacentral:rRNA from 1 species